rnacentral:rRNA from 1 species
UACGAAGGGGGCUAGCGUUGCUCGGAAUUACUGGCGUAAAGGGCGCGUAGGCGGAUAGUUUAGUCAGAGGUGAAAGCCCAGGGCUCAACCUUGGAACUGCCUUUGAUACUGGCUAUCUUGAGUUCGGGAGAGGUGAGUGGAAUGCCGAGUGUAGAGGUGAAAUUCGUAGAUAUUCGGCGGAACACCAGUGGCGAAGGCGACUCACUGGCCCGAUACUGACGCUGAGGCGCGAAAGCCAGGGGAGCGAACGGG